UAGUAAUGGUGUGUAUGACACUUGGU
rnacentral:piRNA from 1 species